GAAGAAGACUGUCAUUAACAAACCAUACAAGGUACUCUUCCCUCCAGGAGUAACAGGAUUCAAGAUAGGAUAAAUGACUCCAAGUUUCUGCAAUUAAUUUAUAAUGAAAAAAAUCUGAACUCUAUGAAAGAGCAACACCAGAACUUCAACAACUGUCUAAGUUCCUCUACUACACCAUCCUUCAGUGCAUCCCUAGUCCUGCACUAGGAGGACUCAAAAGAAACUUCCGGAAGGAGAAUACAGAAGUCCAAAACUAAAAGAUAAGA